GCAGCAUGGUCUUAGCUUGCUAAGGCUGAUAGCGACCGGCGCACGGGUGAGUAACACGUAUCCAACCUGCCGUCUACUCUUGGCCAGCCUUCUGAAAGGAAGAUUAAUCCAGGAUGGCAUCAUGAGUUCACAUGUCCGCAUGAUUAAAGGUAUUUUCCGGUAGACGAUGGGGAUGCGUUCCAUUAGAUAGUAGGCGGGGUAACGGCCCACCUAGUCAACGAUGGAUAGGGGUUCUGAGAGGAAGGUCCCCCACAUUGGAACUGAGACACGGUCCAAACUCCUACGGGAGGCAGCAGUGAGGAAUAUUGGUCAAUGGGCGAUGGCCUGAACCAGCCAAGUAGCGUGAAGGAUGACUGCCCUAUGGGUUGUAAACUUCUUUUAUAAAGGAAUAAAGUCGGGUAUGCAUACCCGUUUGCAUGUACUUUAUGAAUAAGGAUCGGCUAACUCCGUGCCAGCAGCCGCGGUAAUACGGAGGAUCCGAGCGUUAUCCGGAUUUAUUGGGUUUAAAGGGAGCGUAGAUGGAUGUUUAAGUCAGUUGUGAAAGUUUGCGGCUCAACCGUAAAAUUGCAGUUGAUACUGGAUGUCUUGAGUGCAGUUGAGGCAGGCGGAAUUCGUGGUGUAGCGGUGAAAUGCUUAGAUAUCACGAAGAACUCCGAUUGCGAAGGCAGCCUGCUAAGCUGC
rnacentral:rRNA from 1 species